GCAGUGGUUUAUUGGUUUGUACAUGAAAAUGCAAACAACGCCUAAGAAGCCUGUAGUACACCGAAUGACCAAUAGGGGUCAGUGUGUAGGUGAAAAAUGCGGUGGUUCGUUGGUUUGUACAUGAAAUGCAAUAAUGUCUGAGAAGCCUGUAGUACACCGAAUGACCGGUAGGGGUCAGUGUGUAGGCAAAAAUGCAGUGGUUCGUUGGUUUGUACAUGAAAUGCGAUAAUGUCUAAGAAGUCUGUAGUACCCCCAAAGACCAGUAGGGGGUUUAAAUGAAUGAUAUGCAUGAACAUGCAAUGGUUUUAGAACAGACAGACAAAAUGCAGCCGUAAAGUGAGGACCUGACCCGUGCAUGGUGCCGUGGGACUGAUGCCUGGCGUAAUGGGUAGGUCAACUUACGGUUUGUGAGUCACUUGGACACCAUCCACAGUGAUAGAUUGAAGAAAGAAGGUGGUAGGCCGGAAAAGCCUGUGGCUGGAUUCCUGACACAGCUCAGCUUAGAAAACCUCAUGGAGUAAUCAGGUAAAAUGGCGUCUGGAUGACCCGGAAGUGGAAAUCAUUCUGAUGCUGACCUCAAGCGAUAUGAGUCAGGUAAGG